GAUGAACGCUGGCGGCGUGCUUAACACAUGCAAGUCGAACGGAAAGGCCCAAGCUUGCUUGGGUACUCGAGUGGCGAACGGGUGAGUAACACGUGGGUGAUCUGCCCUGCACUUCGGGAUAAGCCUGGGAAACUGGGUCUAAUACCGGAUAGGACCACAUUUUGGAUGGUGUGGUGGAAAGUUUUUCGGUGUGGGAUGAGCUCGCGGCCUAUCAGCUUGUUGGUGGGGUAAUGGCCUACCAAGGCGUCGACGGGUAGCCGGCCUGAGAGGGUGUACGGCCACAUUGGGACUGAGAUACGGCCCAGACUCCUACGGGAGGCAGCAGUGGGGAAUAUUGCACAAUGGGCGCAAGCCUGAUGCAGCGACGCCGCGGGGGGGAUGACGGACUUCGGGUUGUAAACUCCUUUCGCUAGGGACGAAGCGUUAUGUGACGGUACCUGGAGAAGAAGCACCGGCUAACUACGUG
rnacentral:rRNA from 1 species